UGGCUCCAUUAUAAUCUAUGGGACCACUGUUGUAUAUGUGGUCCAUAGUCCAAUGAGAUUCCAUUUUGCAGUACAUGACUGUAUUAUCAUAAAAGGAACCAGGAUAAUACCCUGCUCUAUGGAAGAACUAUGGCUAGAGUUCUUUCCCUCGAGUGAGUUUUGUACCAGGAUCUCUCUGUCCCAUCUCAUCAGAACACCCACUUGACUGCCUAAUUACUUCACAGAGCUGACAUGAGGGUUACUUCGUUGCUUCCACUGGCCAAGCUCCGGCAGGAAGCACAUAAACCAAGGAAGAUGUUAGGAUAAGAUACAUGAGGUGUGCGGUGCUGAUCAACCAAUAAUUUUGCAGAACAACAGAAUCAACCUCUCUUAAAGGUCCUGAACUUGCUCAAUGCCCUGAUUUCAGUUUGCUGAAGAUCUUAUGCAUGAAGACAGUGAAUGAAAUGACUGUGGACAAAUAAGCCUCAUUCCUGUAUUCUUCAAUUUAAAAGCAAAAAUUCAGAAUCA